UUGGACGAUCCGAACGAACGUCGAGAUAUUGAUGAAUUUUUCCGAAUAUGCUUUUUUAAACGAUGGAUAUGUAUCACUCUCAAAAUCCAAGCAAGGAAAGUGAUGAUCCUUUCAAGAAACAAGUUGAAGAAUAAAAUUCCACCUGUGUUAUAAAAAAGAUAAUGAGAAAAAUUAUAGAUAAAUGUGCGUAAUAACAUUUAUCUUUAAUGGUUAAACUAUUGUAUUACCGGAACAACCAAGAAAGCCAUACAGAACAGCAACUACCUUACCCGCCCUCGUUUGCGGUGUGGUAUUUCCAUAUCCUGAUAAACAAAUUAAUAAUAACAUCCAUAAUUUAUUUCGAAACUGAAAUGAAUAUAUACAAACGUAAUACAAAGUACCAUUUACACAGUACUGAAGAGGAUAACUACAAGACUAGGUCGCAAGAUAUUAACAUUCUGGAAUUUACCGGCACAUUCUUAUAUGUGCUGCGAACGACGACCCUUACCCCUUUAUUCAAUGCUUUUAUGACCAAGUUAUAACGCGAUAAUACAGUCGUCAAUAAAUUGACUUUUAAGUGAAUAGUUGGAAAAUAAUCAAACGUGCAAACAAAAUAUUUAGGGCGAAUAUGGUAAAUUAUUUCGUAAUUACUGAUACACUCGUGUCUACAGUCUUUCGAAAAAGAAUACAAAUGGAAGAAAUGUAUAACUGAGAUAAAGACCAGCAAACUAUGGUACCCACGAAGUGAAAGCUGCCAAGAAAAUCCCAUCGUCGGCUCUUGUUGAUGACACCGGAGAAUGAAGCGUUUCCAUAUGCAUAUAAUAACUCAUCUAGUCUUUGGAGAGCAGUUGGACUACCUUGCAAAUGAUACUUUCGAAAACUAUGAUAAACGCGCCAAAAUUCUGCAGUCUAUAUAGUGAGCAGAAGUUUAACAUACAAGUAUUAACUUUUACUUCGAUAUUUAUUUAAAUUAAAAAAUAGUAAUAAAACAUAGCAACCCAGACUAAAAAGACAAUUUAAAACGUAGAUAAAAAAGAACAACCAAAAGAUAAAAAAUGGUUUCAUACCUGUUGCACUUCAAGAUCAGCUUCUAGUUGUUGAAAGAUUGCAGCGCCAGUUAACAUGUACACUGUCAGGGCGGCGAAAUGAAGGAUGAAUCUUGCGUUAUCCUCUCCGAGGCCACCGGGGAGACACAUCACCGACAAUUCUCAUCUCUCCAGAUACAAGAGACUGGUUGCAAUCCCCACUUUUGCCUUUCAUCUGGGUUGGCGCAAACUCAGCGACGAACAUCCACGAAAAUCCGCAGAUGCAUUGUCAACGAACAUUAUCAAGAUACAUCAUUUAAAAUCUAUCGCAACUCAGAAUUUUAUGAUUCUUCAAAGUAUAUUUUUAAUUCAAUUACUUCUUUGUAUUUAUUUUUUUAAUUACCUGUAUUUGCUUUAACACAGUGUUAGCAUUUGGCAUAUCAAAAUUUUAUUCGGAUGACAUGUUGCAAAAGUUUGGUCGUAUUAUUUGAAAGAUGUACAAUAUUGUAUGUUACGUAAUUUUACAUUGUAAAAUUGCAGGGCUACAUGAUUUAUAAAACUAUGUUGCAGAAAAUAUAAGGCAGUAGCAUAUA